rnacentral:rRNA from 1 species
GACGAACGCUGGCGGCGUGCUUAACACAUGCAAGUCGAACGGUGAUGCUCCAGCUUGCUGGAGUGGAUCAGUGGCGAACGGGUGAGUAACACGUGAGCAACCUGCCCCAGACUCUGGAAUAAGCGCUGGAAACGGCGUCUAAUACUGGAUACGAAACUGGCCCGCAUGGGCAUGGUUUGGAAAGUUUUUCGGUUUGGGAUGGGCUCGCGGCCUAUCAGCUUGUUGGUGAGGUAAUGGCUCACCAAGGCGACGACGGGUAGCCGGCCUGAGAGGGCGACCGGCCACACUGGGACUGAGACACGGCCCAGACUCCUACGGGAGGCAGCAGUGGGGAAUAUUGCACAAUGGGCGAUAGCCUGAUGCAGCGACGCCGCGUGAGGGAUGACGGCCUUCGGGUUGUAAACCUCUUUCAGCAGGGAAGAAGCGAAAGUGACGGUACCUGCAGAAGAAGCACCGGCUAACUACGUG